CCCCCCCUUCUCCUUUUUUAUGGGACACCACCUUCUCCUUUUCAGAAGAAGAAUUUUCACCCGUCACCACCUUUUCCUGCCGUAUGUUUUUCUCGCUUGGUUUUGCCUCUGGACUAGUUUCGCUCGGCUUUUUCCAGACCGGGAUCGCGCGGACUCCCUUCCAACCAUACUCAAAUUGCGUAGCGAAACCUAAUGAUUGAUUCUUAUAAAUCACCAAGCGAGAGUUCAAAUAAUUCAAGAAGGUGGAGGUAAAGGUGUGCAAAGAUGCUACGACCAAAAACGCGUAUAGGAACAGUAGGUGAGCGUUCAAAAAGGAGAUUAAAGAUGUCAAAAAAGGUUCCAUUCCAAUGAAAUUAUUCAACAAAGAAUCUGCUCCCCCCAAAAAAUGAAGAGAGACUUGUCGGAAAUCGCCGGUUGGGUUAAUCCAACCAAGAAAGACAUGGGAAAAAGAUACAUAAAGAAAGAAGCUCGACAACAACAAGACAAGAGAAAAUGAACGAAAGACUCACCGGGGAUAAAGAACGAGACCUGUGAACUCAGAUAGCCUUGUGGCAUACCUUUCAUCCGCUACUUUCUUCUCUUAAGAUAUAAAUAUUCUAGUUUUUUGCUCCUAAAUGCAGUCGUGAUCUUAUUAUACGAUAGCACUCGCCAUCCUUUACGCUCUUGUCUGGUAAAUCCGCUUAGUCUGGAGUGGAGACCCCCUUUGCUAGUGAGGUAAUCGCCUAGUUCCUAUCUAUUCUAUCUGCCUGAUCACGGUCAAAUACCCCUCUGGUACAACUCCUUCCUAAUGCCCUUAUCCCUAGCAGCUUGGUCGGGAUGCCCUAAAUUCAGCACAGCAAGUAGCGAUUCGAAUUUGACAGUUUCAAGUCCGUGGGAAUCUUCGUAUUUCUUUCUUAGGGAGGUUUAAACCACUGAAUCAUCAAAGCAAGGUCUCGAACCAGAUUCUAUUAGAUCUUCGACCGUAAUUCGCCUAUCUGUCG
rnacentral:misc_RNA from 1 species